rnacentral:snRNA from 1 species
AUUGCUUCUUGGCCUUUUGGCUAAGAUCAAGUGUAGUAUCUGUUCUUAUCAGUUUAAACCUCAUGAUCCAGCUUAAAUUUUGAUGAUGGUGAUAGUGACUGUGUGUACAUGUACAUAUAUGUGUAUGGGAAAAAACAUGUUACAGGAGGCACAGCUGGUACUGUAAAAAUAUACCACACUUUUAAGGCUUUUUGCUGACUUCCU